rnacentral:rRNA from 1 species
ACUCCUACGGGAGGCAGCAGUGAGGAAUAUUGGACAAUGGAUGGAAAUCUGAUCCAGCCACGCCGCGUGCAGGAAGACGGCCCUAUGGGUUGUAAACUGCUUUUCUACGGGAGAAAUAAGGUCUACGCGUAGACUGAUGAGAGUACCGUAAGAAUAAGCAUCGGCUAACUCCGUGCCAGCAGCCGCGGUAA